GGGGGGGGGGGGGGGGGGGGGGGGGGGGGGGGGGGCGGGGGGCGGGGGGGGGGGCUUGCGCCCGGUCGGCGGGCGGCGGACGGCUGGGUAGCGCGUGGGAGCGUGCCCCAGCGGGAGGAAUGACUGCCCGAAAGGGUAUCUAAUACCGCAUAUUAUCUUCGGAUCCAAGGAUUUAUCCGCUUUGGGAGCGGCGCGCGUCGGAUUAGGUCGUUGUUGAGGUCAUGGCUCACCCAGCCGAAUAUCCUUAUCUGGUAUGAGAGGAUGACGAGCCAGACUGGAAAUGAGGAACGGUGGAGACUCCUACGGGAGGCAGGAGUAAGGAAUCUUCCACAAUGGGAGAAAGCCUGAUGGAGCAACGACGCGUGCAGGAGGAAGGCCGUAGGGUUGUAAAAUGCUUGUAUAAGAGAGGAAUAUGACGGUAACUUAUGAAUAAAGGGCGGCCAACUACGUG
rnacentral:rRNA from 1 species